rnacentral:rRNA from 2 species
AAAUUGAAGAGUUUGAUCAUGGCUCAGAUUGAACGCUGGCGGCAGGCCUAACACAUGCAAGUCGAACGGUAGCACAGAGAGCUUGCUCUCGGGUGACGAGUGGCGGACGGGUGAGUAAUGUCUGGGAAACUGCCUGAUGGAGGGGGAUAACUACUGGAAACGGUGGCUAAUACCGCAUAACGUCGCAAGACCAAAGAGGGGGACCUUCGGGCCUCUUGCCAUCAGAUGUGCCCAGAUGGGAUUAGCUUGUUGGUGAGGUAACGGCUCACCAAGGCGACGAUCCCUAGCUGGUCUGAGAGGAUGACCAGCCACACUGGAACUGAGACACGGUCCAGA